UGGGGAAUAUUGGACAAUGGGCGAAAGCCUGAUCCAGCCAUGCCGCGUGUGUGAAGAAGGUCUUCGGAUUGUAAAGCACUUUAAGUUGGGAGGAAGGGCAGUAAGCGAAUACCUUGCUGUUUUGACGUUACCGACAGAAUAAGCACCGGCUAACUCUGUGCCAGCAGCCGCGGUAAUACAGAGGGUGCAAGCGUUAAUCGGAAUUACUGGGCGUAAAGCGCGCGUAGGUGGUUCGUUAAGUUGAAUGUGAAAGCCCCGGGCUCAACCUGGGAACUGCAUCCAAAGCUGGCGAGCUAGUGUAGGGCAGAGGGUGGUGGAAUUUCCUGUGUAGCGGUGAAAUGCGUAGAUAUAGGAAGGAACACCAGUGGCGAAGGCGACCACCUGGGCUCAUACUGACACUGAGGUGCGAAAGCGUGGGGAGCAAACAGG
rnacentral:rRNA from 1 species